ensembl:lncRNA
GGGAGAGUCACGGUUAGCGGCCAGCUGGGCCUGGGCCGGGCUGCCAGGUCACCAAGGGACACUGUGUGGCGAGUAAGGAGCGCACUGGAUAUCCUCUUUCACACACAGUCUUGCUGAGUCCUUCAGCAGGAACCGGCAAAAGCGUUAACAGCGCCCGGAAACCAGACGCCUCCUUCUUCCUGCAGCGUCUCUCCAGCGCCCUCUACCGGUUAAGCGUAACAUUGCGCUCAACCUGAAGAAGACAUGCUGGAGACAGCACCAGUCCAUUGGGAGUUGAAAAGGAGCAAAGCGUAGCUCGCACUGUGGGUUUUUUCAGAGUGCCUGUGCGUGACUGAGCUGUUCUAUAAUUUCCAGAAACCAGAGGCGUUGAGAGAAGCGGAGUGGGGAGAGGAAGGAACAGUGAUAAGAAACCGCAGGUUAACAUUCAACCAAGCUGAGAGGGAAGGGAGAGAUUUUAUGUCCCAGCAUGUCCAUAUAAAACCCCAGAACGCAGUAAAAGUCGAGCCUCGGUCUCCUCCCUAAACCUGGUCUUUCCCAACAGCAAGAGGCACUGAGGAUUUUGACUGACCAACCCAUAGUUAUUUGCUCACCUGCCUGGCCAGAGAGGUGGGUGACUGUGAUGGGUCACUACAUUAUUUGGUCACGAAAUAGGUGGAGGAAAUUUUCCCAAAGGGAGGUCGUUAUGAUGAAAAUGAGGGACAGGGAUGCCUAAAACCCUCUGACCUCUAUUAUGGGGGCACAGAUGAAAAUGGGAUAAGUCUGUUUCUUUGCAGAAGGCUUUUUGUUGCUGUUUUGUAUUUGUUUUUUAUUGUAUUAUUACAUCAACAUCCUUUUGUGAGCCCCAUAUUAACUCUAGGUAGAGCUAGAUGGAAAUCACUGAAGGAAGCCACACAAGCCUGACUCUGUCAAAAUGCAUCAGUGGCCUCCCUCUCUCUCACUGUACUGUCACCAUGGAGCAGUGAUGUUUUGAAACAGUGGGAAUCUUCCAUUCUCUGUUAGUUGAUACAAAUGAUAUGUGAAAGCAAAAGGCUUCUGGCCCUUAAAUAUUGCUCUGAACAUAAGUUAGAAAUGCUAAUGGGCUGAGCUUAAAUGUUGUUGCUUUUAUCUUUAGGCAGUUUGAGGUUCAGUAAUGUGAUAUCCAGUUACCCAAGUGAGCCAUGGAUACCAGUAAGAAACACAGAGGAGCCUACCUCGCCGCACCCCUUUGUUGUCCCUGAAUUGGAUCAGAAGAGUUUCAACCAUAUCACAUCUGGGGCUGGUGCUAACAUCUGUCUCUGAGAAUGUGCUGGCUGUGACAACUCACUAUUCAUGUGACGAGAUCCAAACUCUUCAUAGCAAGCCAGACACAGGUGCUAUCACUGGAAAAUUUUUCUAUUAUCCAAUUCUUCCAUAUGCUUUCCAAGGGGAAAUAAACUAGUUUCAGGUCACACUGGUUCAUAAUGUUAGACUGCCAAGAUGGCUAGAAUAUAACCCUUCUAUCAAGACCUUGCAAGGACUGCCUUUAGAAGAUGAAGGAAGAGAUUUCCAAAUCACGGCGCUGGUGUCUGGGGAUUUCUGUUUCCAGCAAACGCGAACAGCCUCCAUCACCUCUACCCUUCAUGUGCUGGACAGAUGACGUAAAGGAAACAAGCUUGAUUUCGUCUCCAAGUGGUGUUAGGGUCCAAGGAGGCUAAAAGUUUUCUACCAACGUAGCUGAAGUCACUGUUAAAGCAGCUGCCGAAAUUCUUGGUGUUGGAAACCGUCCCUUUUUGGUGCACACACUGGCAGACUAUUUCCACUUGGAUCCAUCAUGAGUGACUAUGAACUCCUUCAGAAGCAAGAUAAACAAGCACCUUUGGAACCUUCCAGUGUUGGCUGCAGAUCCCAGCUUGAACAUCAGGAAGUUCACGGUUCACGGAUUGCUGAAGCCUGGCUUGGAAAAUUUUGAGCAUUACUUUACUAGCAUGUGAGAUGAGUGCAAUGGUUCAAUAGUUUGAGCAUUCUUUGGCAUUGCCUUUCUUUGGGAUUGGAAUGAAAACUGACCUUUUCCAGUCCUGUGGCCACUGCUGAGUUUUCCAAAUUUGCUGGCAUAUGAUGCUGGGAGGGAUUGGGGGCAGGAGGAGAAGGGGACGACAGAGGAUGAGAUGGCUGGAUGGCAUCACGGACUCGAUGGACGUGAGUCUGAGUGAACUCCGGGGGAUGGUGAUGGACAGGGAGGCCUGGCGUGCUGCGAUUCAUGGGGUCACAAAGAGUCGGACACGACUGAACGACUGAACUGAACUGAACUGAAGAGUCAGUUAGUCAAGCUUGGUAUUCAAGAGCCCCGUUUGCUUCAUCCCAGUAGUCUCAUUCUCCUGGGUCCUCUGUCUCAGAGGAAGUAAUGUCGGAUAAAGACUCACCUUCUGAGGGACUAUCUUCAAUGACAACAUUGCUCUGCAAAUGGAGUGGCUUUGACCCAGUCUACCCGAAAAGCUUUGUCCAGUCACCUAAUAUCCUCCUGAUAGCUUCAGCAUCAGCAAGGGCAGCCUCCCAUCUUCCCCUUGAGUUUAGGUAGUUGCUCUGGUCAAGCCAGCUGGGACAGAAGCAUCUUCAUAGACAUGUGUCUGAGACUCCUGAAGUUUCUCAGAAGAAUCAUUC